rnacentral:rRNA from 1 species
UAGUGGCGGACGGGUGAGUAACACGUAAGGGACCUGCCCUAGAGUGGGGGAUAGCCUGGGGAAACCGAGGGUAAGCCCGCGUACGGCCGAUCGCAUAGCGGCGAUCGGGGAAAUCGGCCCGUAAGGGCGGAGCUCUGGGAGGGCCUUGCGGCGGAUUAGCUAGUUGGGGGGGUAGUGGCCCACCAAGGCGACGAUCCGUAGCUGGUCUGAGAGGAUGACCAGCCACACCGGGACUGAGACACGGCCCGG